GUGUCAGCAGCCGCGGUAAUACGUAGGUGGCAAGCGUUGUCCGGAAUUAUUGGGCGUAAAGCGCGCGCAGGCGGUUUCUUAAGUCUGAUGUGAAAGCCCCCGGCUCAACCGGGGAGGGUCAUUGGAAACUGGGGAACUUGAGUGCAGAAGAGGAGAGUGGAAUUCCACGUGUAGCGGUGAAAUGCGUAGAGAUGUGGAGGAACACCAGUGGCGAAGGCGACUCUCUGGUCUGUAACUGACGCUGAGGCGCGAAAGCGUGGGGAGCGAACAGGAUUAGAUACCCUGGUAGUCCACGCCGUAAACGAUGAGUGCUAAGUGUUAGAGGGUUUCCGCCCUUUAGUGCUGCAGCAAACGCAUUAAGCACUCCGCCUGGGGAGUACGGUCGCAAGGUUAAAACUCAAAGGAAUUGACGGGG
rnacentral:rRNA from 1 species